AUCACCAAGGGAUCUUGUUAAAAUGCAGAUUCUGAUGCAGUAGGUCUGAGGUGGGGAUGGAGAAUCUGCAUUUCUAACAAGCCUCCAUAUGAUGCUUA
rnacentral:pre_miRNA from 1 species